GCUGACACGUCCCGGCCAAUCUCCAGCAGACCCUCCCUCCCAGACCCUCCUACUUCCUGGACAGCAUCCAUGUUGAAACAUAUAUGUUGAAACAUGGAUGCUGUCCAGGAAGUAGGAGGGUCUGGGAGGGAGGGUCUGCUGGAGAUUGGCCGGGACAUGUCAG